UGAGGAAUUUUCCGCAAUGGGCGAAAGCCUGACGGAGCGACGCCGUGUGUGUGAUGAAGUCCUUCGGGACGUAAAGCACUGUCAGGGGGGACGAUAUUGACGGUACCCCCAGAGGAAGGCCCGGCUAACUACGUGCCAGCAGCCGCGGUAAUACGUAGGGGCCAAGCGUUGUCCGGAAUUACUGGGCGUAAAGGGUUCGUAGGCUGCUUAAUAAGUCAGGUGUAAAAUUUCCCAGCUUAACUGGGAACCUGCAUUUGAUACUGUUUUGCUAGAGAAUAUCAGAGGAAAGCGGAACUUCCAGUGUAGCGGUGAAAUGCGUAGAUAUUGGAAGGAACACCAGUGGCGAAGGCGGCUUUCUGGGGUAUUUCUGACGCUGAGGAACGAAAGCUAGGGGAGCAAACGGG
rnacentral:rRNA from 1 species